rnacentral:tRNA from 1 species
GGGGGAUUAGCUCAGCUGGUAGAGCGCUUGCAUGGCAUGCAAGAGGUCAACGGUUCGAUCCCGUUAUCCUCCA